CGACGCUACCGGCUACGGAAGAGACACCAACGGCCGGGUUGCUGCAACAUCUGCACUAGCAUCUUCGAUCCUAUGAGCUGUCAGCCAUACAGGGAAGCCUGUCUAUCCACCUGCAAUCUGACUUCAAUGAUACAAUCCCACUCUCUGCAUACAAGAUUGAUGGCUUGCUGCUGUUGACUCCCAAGAGGUUCAUACAAGUGAGACAAAAUUAAGACCACUCACUCUAUGUGAUGGCAGCUGAAGCCCCACAAAACAUGAUCCUUCGUGUCAUCGAGGCAGACCGUGUUAGAAAAUUAAAACUCAGCUCCCGUCCAGCCUCUGUUGAUGCAGUGAUUGAGAUUCAGUUUGCAAUACAAAAAUCCAGACUUUGAUGGAAAACUCACUUGCCUUGUUGACAUCGAGGAGUUACCACAAAAAGCCUGUGUUCAUAUUUCAGUUAGACAGGAUUCCAGUUCUCUUGCAUCAACUGAUACCCUUUCAGAUGUGUCAUCCCCAGAACAUCUGAGCAGAUGGCCUCCAGGUCCUUUACAAAUUCCCACAUUUGCAUUUGACGUUGAGCUGACACUUAGAGAUGGGAAUGCUGAAUUUGAAAAGAAUGAGAGACCUCUUCAGUUGUCAAGGGACCAAAAGCACUAUAUUUUAGACAAACUGGCAUCUACCAUAUAUGGUUUUAAGGCUUACCCCAGUGAUAAAGAGAUAGCAAUGGUGGCUGAAGCUCUUGUGAGGAAACACCCAUGAUUAAAAGAAGCAGGAUCUGACAAUGGAUGGGAUGGCUGGAAGAACAGCAUCAAGUUUAAAAUGGGCAAUUACAGGACCAAGAUGAGAAGGGCUGGAUGUCAGGAGGUCGCUGUAAAUGCUGGGAAAAGAAGCCGAAAAAACCCUGAGAAUGAACCUUCACACUCCAACAUCAAAAGGCCUAAGUGUGCAGAGGUCAACUUUCUGCCUAACUUUCCUCAAGGAGAGGAUCCCUCAAGCCUUGACCUUUUGAGGCAGGCUAUUGUCGAGGAAGUAAAGAAGACUGAGAGAAACCUACCCCUUAUUAGUAAGAUGAUGCAGAACACGUUUGCCUUGCGACGACAGACUAUUGUAAUGUCCUGCCCACCGGUGAAAGAGCUAAUGGACCUCUGGCCUGCUCUUCAUAUGCAGUCUGAGGUAUAUGUAGAGUUCCAACGGAUAACUAACCAGAACCUACCUAACACUUUCUAUGCCGAGCUUGAUCGCCACACUCCUCGUUUGAUGGCCUUAUUUAGACAGAAAGCUUCCAAAACUGAAAAGACUGCAGAUGCUUUGGCAAACAUUUUCAAAGUCCAUGAUACACAGGAAUUACAUGAUGUCCACACAAAGGCGUACCACUGUUCUCCAUGCCCUUCCUGAUUAUCUACUAGAGGAAGUCUCUGGAUUUUUCAGAACAUGUGUGGAUGAUAUGGAUGAGCCAGACCUGUGGGAUGCAUCAGUGGUCCUCCUUACAACAGUCAGUGAUGAUGCCACAAGCCCAGUUCACUACCACCCAGUGAGAGUCUCUGUCGUCCUAGAGGGUGAUGUGGUUGUCAAUCUCCCCAGGCUUGCUGAUGCCUUCCUGGAAGAUGAAGGGGGUGAUGUCCUGCAGGACCUAGCAAAACAUGCAAGGAAAAUCGUUGUGUACUAACCUGGGAUAUU